UAGCAUGAUCGUUUGUACUUUGGUUAAGCUACAUGGAUAAUCUGAAAGCGGAGAUCGGUCGGAAACAUCUUGUUUCGGAAGGCAGAAAGUGCGGAGAGUCUUGAGGACAUAUGGGUUGUAACCGGGUUGGAACUCGAUGAGAUCAUAGGUUCACAUUGCCAUUAGGAUAGAUUUUCCUUUUUGUGCGCAAUUACCUCUUUUCAGGGAUUGCUUCCUGUGUAUUGCUC
rnacentral:lncRNA from 1 species